UUCAAAGAUUCACAGCAGGACACAUGGAAUCCAGGAUAGACUACAUUUCCCAGUCUUCAUUGCUGGUCUAUUAUCUUACAUUGUGAGCAUCACACUUUGCUGAGUGUUUAAAGAGAGAAAUGGAAGGAACUGUGUAGUGAACACCCAUAUGCC